rnacentral:rRNA from 1 species
AUUGAACGCUGGCGGCAGGCCUAACACAUGCAAGUCGAGCGAGCGGCGGACGGGUGAGUAAUGCCUGGGAAUUGCCCAGUCGAGGGGGAUAACAGUUGGAAACGACUGCUAAUACCGCAUACGAUUGGAUUGCCCAGGUGGGAUUUGCUAGUUGGUGAGGUAAUGGCUCACCAAGGCGACGCUCCCUAGCUGGUCUGAGAGGAUGAUCAGCCACACUUGAACGGAGACACGGUCCAGCAUCCUACGGGAGGCAGCAGUAGGUAAUAUUACACAAUGGGGGAAACCCUGAUGCAGCCAUGCCGCGUGUGUGAGUAAGUCCUUCGGGUUGUAAAGCACUUUCAGUGAGGAAGCGUUACUCACAGAAGAAGCACCGGCUAACUCCGUGCCAGCAGCCGCGGUAAUUC